rnacentral:rRNA from 1 species
AUUGAACGCUGGCGGCAGGCUUAACACAUGCAAGUCGAGCGAGCGGCGGACGGGUGAGUAAUGUCUGGGAAACUGCCUGAUGGAGGGGGAUAACUACUGGAAACGGUAGCUAAUACCGCAUACCAUCGGAUGUGCCCAGAUGUGAUUAGCUCGUGGGUGGGGUAAUGGCUCACCUGGGCGACGAUCCCUCGCUGGUCUGAGAGGAUGACCAGCCACACUGGAACUGAGACACGGUCCAGACUCCUACGGGAGGCAGAAGUGGGGAAUAUUGCACAAUGGGUGCAAGCCUGAUGCAGCCAUGCCGCGUGUGUGAAGAAGGCCUUCGGGUUGUAAAGCACUUUCAGCGAUGAGGCGUUACUCGCAGAAGAAGCACCGGCUAACUCCGUGCCAGCAGCCGCGGUAAUAC